UACGUAGGUGGCAAGCGUUGUCCGGAUUUAUUGGGUUUAAAGGGUGCGUAGGCGGUUUUUUAAGUCAGUGCUGAAAUACUCCAGCUUAACUGGAGAGGUGGCAUUGAUACUGGAAGACUUGAGUGUAGUUGAAGUAGGCGGAAUUGACGGUGUAGCGGUGAAAUGCUUAGAUAUCGUCAAGAACACCGAUAGUGAAGACAGCUUACUAAGCUACAACUGACGCUGAGGCACGAAAGUGUGGGGAUCAAACAGG
rnacentral:rRNA from 1 species